rnacentral:rRNA from 1 species
AUUGAACGCUGGCGGCAGGCUUAACACAUGCAAGUCGAGCGGGGGAGGUUGCUUCGGUAACUGACCUAGCGGCGGACGGGUGAGUAAUGCUUAGGAAUCUGCCUAUUAGUGGGGGACAACAUUCCGAAAGGAAUGCUAAUACCGCAUACGCCCUACGGGGGAAAGCAGGGGAUCUUCGGACCUUGCGCUAAUAGAUGAGCCUAAGUCGGAUUAGCUAGUUGGUGGGGUAAAGGCCUACCAAGGCGACGAUCUGUAGCGGGUCUGAGAGGAUGAUCCGCCAAACUGGGACUGAGACACGGCCCAGACUCCUACGGGAGGCAGCAGUGGGGAUAUUGGACAAUGGGCGGAAGCCUGAUCCAGCCAUGCCGCGUGUGUGAAGAAGGCCUUUUGGUUGUAAAGCACUUUAAGCGAGGAGGAGGCUCUUAAGGUUAAUACCCUUGAUGAGUGGACGUUACUCGCAGAAUAAGCACCGGCUAACUCUGUGCCAGCAGCCGCUGUAACAC